UAGGAUUAGGGUCUGGGUCAGAGUCAGGGCCGGAAGUGUGGUUAGAGGUGGGAUCAUGGUCAGGGUCAAGAUCAGAGUCAGGGUCAAAAUCAGGGUCAGAAUUAGGGACCAGGGUAGGGAUCAGGGUUUAGGGUCAGGGUCAAAGUCUAGAGACAGGAUUGGGGUUAGGAUUAGAACCAGAGAUUUGUUCUCCUCAGGACCCACCCGAGGAGAGGCCAUGGCUUUGAAGCACCUGGUAGUGUGUCCACAGUGAAGACCAGAGUUUCAUUGUCCUCAAGACUGACCUGGGGAGACGUGGCUGUGGGCCAAUGAGGAAGUGUUAAAGUAGUAGAAGUGGUAUUGAAAAAUUGAAAAGUGGACAUAUUAAAACUUGCAACAUUAUGUAAGUCUAAAUAUAUUAUUUGUACCUCAUCAACAUUUUUUUGUUGAGAAAGUCUAAGGUUAAUUGGCAGCAUGUUUUAAUAGUAGAUAGAAUAAUGUCUGUUUUAUAAACAUUGACAUCCUACAUUACAUGUGUGAACGCCAAAAAUCUGAGACAGCUCUCGUAUUUUUUAGAAAGUUUAUUUUGCCAAGUUUGAGGAUGCGCCUGUGAUGCCUCUGCAGGAGGUCCCAACAACACAGGCCCAAGGUGGUUGGGGUCCAGCUUGGUUUUACACACUUUAGGGAGAGAUGAGACAUCAAUCAAUAUGUGAAAGAUGUACCUUGGUUCAGUCCAGAAAGGUGAGACAACUUGAAGAGAAGGCCAGACAGGGAGCUUCCAGGUCAUAGGUAGGUAGGAGACAAAUUGUUUCAUUCUUUUGAGUUGCUGGUUACCCUCUCCCGAUGAGGCACUCAGAUACGCAUUUCUCUCGGUGAGCAGACGGGUGACUUUGAACAGAAUGGGAGGCAGGUUUGCCCUCAGCAGCCCCAGCUUGACUUUUCAUUUUAGCUUAGUGAUUUUGGGUCCCCAAGGUUGAUUUUCAUUUCACAAUGUCUAAUAUGUUUUCCUAUGAGCAUUGAGUAUUCUUUGUGUAUUUUAUUACACAAGGCAUGGAUUUUU